CAAAUUUUGAUCUGAAAUCAGGUAGGGCUACCCGCUGAACUUAAGCAUAUCAAUAAGCGGAGGAAAAGAAACUAACAAGGAUUCCCCUAGUAACGGCGAGUGAAGCGGGAAGAGCUCAAAUUUAAAAUCUGGUUUGCUUGCAAAUCCGAGUUGUAGUCUGAAGAAACGUUUUCCAUGAAAGCUGAGGCACAAGUCCUUUGGAACAGGGCAUCAUAGAGGGUGAGAAUCCCGUCCAUGGUCUCAAGCCUUUCAUUUUGUGAUACGUUUUCUAAGAGUCAGGUUGUUUGGGAAUGCAGCCUAAAAUGGGUGGUAAAUUUCAUCUAAAGCUAAAUAUUGGCGAGAGACCGAUAGCGAACAAGUACCGUGAGGGAAAGAUGAAAAGAACUUUGAAAAGAGAGUUAAAAAGUACGUGAAAUUGUUGAAAGGGAACCGUUUGAAGCCAGUCUUGCUUGCUUGUGAUCAGUCUUUGCUUCGGCUUGGAUGCACUCUCAGGUUAUGCAGGUCAACGUCAGUUUGAGAGGUGGGAAAAAAGCUUGAGGAAUGUGGCCUUCGGGUGUUAUAGCCUCUUGCUAAAUACCAUCUUUUGGACUGAGGCUCGCAGCAAAAAUGUGGGCAGGUUUGCGUUUGAGGUGAUACAUUAUUAAGACAGCUUGCUGACUUAGUUUUGUCUAUCUUCACUGUAAGCUUCGCUUCUAAUUUGCUUAGGUCGUUGACAUAAUGGCUUUAAAUGACCCGUCUUGAAACACGGACCAAGGAGUCUAACAUAUAUGCGAGUAUUUGGGUGGCAAACCCACAUGCGCAAUGAAAGUGAAAUUAGGUGCCAAACUCUCACGAGUGGCAGCAUCGGCCGGCUCUAACGUUUCUAACUGACGAGUCUGAGCAGAAGCAUACAUGUUGGGACCCGAAAGAUGGUGAACUAUGCCUGAAUAGGGUGAAGCCAGAGGAAACUCUGGUGGAGGCUCGUAGCGAUUCUGACGUGCAAAUCGAUCGUCAAAUUUGGGUAUAGGGGCGAAAGACUAAUCGAACC
rnacentral:rRNA from 1 species